CCUUCUAUAGCUCAGUUGGUAGAGCGGGGGACUGUAGAUCCCUAGGUCACUGGUUCAAAUCCGGUUCGAAGGA
rnacentral:tRNA from 1 species